GUCUACGGCCAUGCCACCCUGAACAUGCCCAAUGUCUGAUCUUGGAAGCUAAGCAGGGCGGGCCUGGUUAGUACAUGGAUGGGAGACCACCUAGGAAGACUAGGUGCUGUAGGCA
rnacentral:rRNA from 1 species